rnacentral:lncRNA from 1 species
AUAUAUAUAAUUUAUUUAUAAAUAUAUAUUUAUUUAUUAUAUAUAUUUAUUUAAUAUAUAUAGUAUUUUAUUUGUAUAUAGAUAUAUUAUUAUAUAAUUUACUAUUUAUUUUUAUAAAAUAUAAAAUAUAUAAAUAAAUGUUAAAUAAUUUAGACUACUGGUAUUAGAUAUAAAUAUUAAUUUUAUAAUAUUGAGCAUUCACAUAUAAAUUAUAUAUUAAAAAAUAAAAAAAAAUUAAUGCAGGUUAAGUUAAUUUUAUAUUUGACGAAAAUUAAUUGCGAGAAUCACAAACAAUGAUUUCUUAUCAUAUUCACUAACUACUGGGGGACUACGAUACCUACUAAAAUUAUUUCACUAACUAAUGGGGGGCUACUAUGCCUACUAAAAUUUUUUUAUGUACUUAUUGCACCAUUUAAAUUCUGAAAUUAAUUUUAUAACUAAUUUUUAAAAUUAAAUUUUAAAAUAACUACCCGCAGUAUCGUGCAGGUCCCUUAACUAAUU